UGGAAGUAAAAGUCGUAACAAGGUUUCCGUAGGUGAACCUGCGGAAGGAUCAUUAUCCAUCUCAAACCAGGUGCGGUCGCGGCCCCCGGGGGCUUGCUCCCGGGUGGUAGGGGUAACACCCUCACGCGCCGCCUGCCUGUACCCUCUUUUUACGAGCACCUUUCGUUCUCCUUCGGCGGGGCAACCUGCCGCUGGAACCAAAACAAAACCUUUUUUGCAUCUAGCAUUACCUGUUCUGAUACAAAUAAUCGUUACAACUUUCAACAAUGGAUCUCUUGGCUCUGGCAUCGAUGAAGAACGCAGCGAAAUGCGAUAAGUAGUGUGAAUUGCAGAAUUCAGUGAAUCAUCGAAUCUUUGAACGCACAUUGCGCCCCUUGGUAUUCCAUGGGGCAUGCCUGUUCGAGCGUCAUCUACACCCUCAAGCUCUGCUUGGUGUUGGGCGUCUGUCCCGCCUCUGCGCGCGGACUCGCCCCAAAUUCAUUGGCAGCGGUCUUUGCCUCCUCUCGCGCAGCACAAUUGCGUCUGCGGGGGGGCGUGGCCCGCGUCCACGAAGCAACAUUACCGUCUUUGACCUCGGAUCAGGUAGGGAUACCCGCUGAACUUAAGCAUAUCAAUAAGCGGAGGAA
rnacentral:misc_RNA from 1 species